UACGUUCCCGGGCCUUGUACACACCGCCCGUCAAGUCACGAAAGUCGGUAACACCCGAAGCCGGUGGCCUAACCCGCAAGGGGAGGAGCCGUCGAAGGUGGGACUGGCGAUUGGGACU
rnacentral:rRNA from 1 species